GUCGAGGGGUAACAUGCGAGCUUGCUCGUGAUGACGACCGGCGGACGGGUGCGUAACGCGUAUGCGACCUACCAUCAACAGCAGGAUAGCCCGGAGAAAUCCGGAUUAAUACUGCAUAAUAUUAGUAGGCUACAUGGUUUAUUAAUUAAAGAUUUAUCGGUUGAUGAUGGGCAUGCGUCUGAUUAGCUAGAUGGUGAGGUAACGGCUCACCAUGGCAACGAUCAGUAGGGGUUCUGAGAGGAUGAUCCCCCACACUGGAACUGAGACACGGUCCAGACUCCUACGGGAGGCAGCAGUAGGGAAUAUUGGUCAAUGGGCGGAAGCCUGAACCAGCCAUGCCGCGUGCAGGAUGACGGCCUUCUGGGUUGUAAACUGCUUUUAAAAGGGAACAAAAGGGCACUGCGGUGUUGAUUGAGUGUACCUUAAGAAUAAGCACCGGCUAACUCCGUGCCAGCAGCCGCGGUAAUACGGAGGGUGCGAGCGUUGUCCGGAUUUAUUGGGUUUAAAGGGUGCGUAGGCGGUUUGAUAAGUCAGUGGUGAAAUACUUCAGCUCAACUGGAGAGGUGCCAUUGAAACUGUCAGACUUGAGAAUAGAUGAGGCAGGCGGAAUUUAUGGUGUAGCGGUGAAAUGCAUAGAUACCA
rnacentral:rRNA from 1 species